UCGCGGGGUAGAGCAGUAGGCAGCUCGUCGGGCUCAUAACCCGAAGGUCACUGGUUCGAGUCCAGUCCCCGCUACUAA
rnacentral:tRNA from 1 species